ACAGAAUGUACAACACCAGGAAUGAGCCAUUAAGUAAACUACGGACUUGAGGUCCUCACGGAGCUUCCAAGGGGCUGGUGGAGCCUGAAAGAAGACACACCAAAGUAGCUGGAAGAAGCUGCCGAGGCCAUCAGGAAAGUGUGUCCCCAGACUUCUGGACAAGAACACAGGUUAUGCUGCACCUGACCAAAGGGACCAUGCCUGGUGAGACAGAGGUCACCAUCGAAAACAAAAGAAGGAAACAGAUCCAGGAGGUCAAGCUAACAUGCUCCCUACUGGGCAAAACCAGGGAAAAGCCUAAGGACCACUAGAUAUGAGGCACGUUUGCUUCCUCAUCCUUACUGAGCUCUGCUAGAUGCCAGGCACAAAGCUAGGUCCCAGUUUCAGGAGAGAAUCAGAUCUCUUACAGAAGUUUAAUGCAAGGAACUCCCUAUCUAUAUAGGGACUGAGUGAAGAAGGAUGUCCCAGGCAGCAGGAGGAUCUAGCAAACUCUAUCGCCAGCAACCAGGAGAAAAGCAAGGCCUGGAGAUGCCAGCAAACACGAGGAGCUCAGGAGUGAGAUGUCACCAUGUCGAUGGGGAUACCAGUGAUAGAACAUAUUGCAUUGCUCAGUAUGAGGAAAAACAAAAAGAGCUUCUCUUUGAAAUUGGGAUCUAAAGUCCCAAGGAAAGGAAAAAUAGUAGGGGCAUAAUGAAAGCAUAAAGAAAAGCAUGAGAAUUGAAACCUUCAGUGAAGACACCCAACAGUGGAAUUGCAAAAAUAAUGAAUCAUUGAUGUAGAGGAGAAACAUGCUACUCUCCCUUCAAAUAUGAAGAAAGAAGGACAAAAUAUAGGAGAUCCUCAGAUAAAAUGUGAUAGAUUUAGAGAUUGCAAAUGAAGAUCCAAUCUAAAAAUUGAAGUUUUUGAAUUAAAAGCCAGAACACAAAGAAAUGAGAGUCAAAGGCGUAAUGUAGAACUUUUGUAAGGAAAUAAAAAUGAGAGCUUUGAAAGUGGUGAGUGGUUAGAAAGCACUUAGGGCAUUCUAGGGAAAUUAAAUAAACUCACUUGAUCGGACUUCCCUCUCCAAAGUCUUGCACAAUAUCCCUCAGGUCCCACUGAAGUCAGGCACAGGUGGGGUGGACAGUUCUGUGAAAAACCAGCAUUGGGGGGUCUUUCUGCUCUUCCCUUCUCUGACCUGCAAGCUUGCAGGGCCUGAAGAGGAGGGGGUGCUGACAGCUUCCUGGGGGCAACCUCAACAAUGCGGGACCAAGACGGUGGUGCUGACUCCUCUGCAUAAUCCCCUGGCACAGGGUAUUGAAAGGCCUCCAGGACUCAUUCUGCAGAGGGAAAGCAGUCUGCCAAGUCGAUGUUCAACUUGGGAAUCGUAUAGUAAUGGGUCUCAGGACAUCAUCAGCUAAGCAAAGCUGCCCAGAGCCAGGAGCUGGGCUUUAGACAUGGAAUUGGCAAUUCUUGAGGACUGGCCUUUGAUCUGGAGUCAUCUUCCCACUGAUGAGGUUGGGGGUUAAGUGGCAGCUAGGAUUUGCUGAUUAUCCUGACUUUAUCCCAGAAUGCAGGUGGCUUCAUCUAGCCUACCCACAGGACCAAAGUCACUGAGCUGUUCUUUUUGUGUGCUCUCACAAGCCGGAUGGAAGAAGACUCGCUGAAAUCGUAAAAUACUGAGAGGUGGUAGAUAGUGCAAGCAGAAGAUAUAAACCAAGAAGAUCAAGAGGACUUUCUCUGCCCUGCGAGUGCUGAAAGUGUGACAGACUCUGUUCUCAAACAAAAACACAAAUCACACCUGACCCCUCUGAGCUCCUCUACCCACCGAGGAAUCAUCAGAGUUGUUUUACUGUAUACCUUUAGA